AUUCCCUAAACAAUGCAGUAUAACAGCUAUUUUCAUAGCAUUUACAUUGUAUUAGAUAUUAUAAGUAAUCUAGAGAUGAUUUAAAGUAUACGGGAGGACGUGCAUGGGUUAUUGUGCAUCGGGAUCGAAAAAAAUCGGAAGUUUUCUUACUAAGCAAGUCCGAACAGGGGGAUGCAGCCAAACUGUGGAGGGCCAGCCAGUGUGCAGAGAGCUGUCAAGGUGGAAUGUGGUUGCAGUGAGUAUUAGUUAGAGGCAUGCAGGCUUCCGUGUGUAGGUGGCUUGCAAUCUUAGCCCUGGGACAAUGGGAAGCAAUCUCGAGAACAGAUCCUCUGCGGGCAAAGUGAGACCAAGUGCUUUUGUGGAGUCAGAAGGAGACUUCCGCUCUUAUUACCUCGUAAAUAUACGAGAACCACCUGCAGUUCCUCUUGUAUAUCUACAGUCCAGCAAUCAGGCCAAUUUACCCAUGUUCACCUUAAGGUUGCGGUCUCCCUUUUUAAAAAAAAUUAUCCAUUUAUGAGGUAUUUAUUGCACAUUCCUUACACUUGUUUUCUAACAAAUAAACUAACCAAAAUACUAUAUAAAAAAUUGCAAG